rnacentral:tRNA from 1 species
GGGGAUGUAGCUCACUGGUUGAACAACUGCUUAGCAAGCACUAGGCCCUGGGUUCCAUCCCCAACACCCUCC